AGUGUAGUGGUAACGCACCUGCCUAGUUAGUAGGAGUCGUGAGUUCGAGUCUCAC
rnacentral:tRNA from 1 species